rnacentral:rRNA from 1 species
UGCCCCCCGGCCCGGGAUAGCCCAGGGGAAACCUGGAUUAAUACCGGAUGAGACGGGACCCCGCGAUGGCGGGACCCGGGAAAGGCGCUGCGGCGCCGCCGGGGGGAUGAGUCUGCGUCCCAUUAGCUAGACGCGGGGUAACGGCCCACCGUGGCGACGAUGGGUAGCCGGCCUGAGAGGGUGGACGGCCACAUUGGAACUGAGACACGGUCCAGACUCCUACGGGAGGCAGCAGCUAAGAAUCUUCCGCAAUGGGGCGAAAAGCCUGACGGAGCGAACCGCCGUCGUGAACGAAAGAAGGCCGUGAGGUUGUAAAGUUCUUUUCGGGAGGGGGAACAACCGUGGCAGGGAAUGGCCGCGGGAUGACGUGAAUCCCGGAAUAAAGCCCCGGCUAACUACGUGCCAGCAGCAGC